CGUGCCCUCCAAGGCCGGCGUGCUGGUCACCCCCAACAUCGUGUCCGCCACGCUCACCAACGCCACCAUCGUCACCGUCGCCCUGCCCACCGCCUCGGUCCUCACCAGCACCGCUGCCGCCGACUGCAAUGCCGCCGUGGUCAUUGCCCGCAACGGCAGCGCCGUCGCCAGCCCUCUGUCGGCCUGCGCCGUCAGCGCCGACGGCCUGAGCCUCACGCUCACCGCCGCCGCCACCUACAAGCCCAUGUCUGGUGACACGGUGGAUGUGGCUGUCAGCCAGACCGUGCUGCGUGCCGGCAGUGCCACCGGCCCGGCCUACGUGCCCCGCCCCUCGCCCGCGCUCAUCACCGUGCCCUCGCCCCCGCCCUCGCCUCCCCCGUCGCCCGCGCCCUCGCCUCCCCCCUCGCCGCCGCUGUCGACCGCCAACUACUCGGCCCGCGGUCUGGCCACCGGCCCGCUGUCCUGCAACGUGCUGAUUGGCGACCUCACCGUCACCACCACCUCGGGCAACUUCACGUGAGUAUUUGCUUGGGGAAUAGGGUUGCUUUACUGGAGAGUUGUCCUACUACCGUAUUGCCAUUUUACAGGACGAUGUUGUGCGCAUGUACUUAUCAUCUCUCCCUCCCUCGCUCUUCUUCCCUCCCACAGCGGUAUGGCCAGCUACGCCGGCAAGGACGCCUCCUACAAGGGCUCUUGCAAGGACGCGGUCACCGGCGCCGUGUACACGGACGACACGGUGGCCUCCACGCUGCCCGCCGGCCUGACCGGCCUGGUCCUGUCGCCCGUGACCGCGCUGGCCUCGGUGUGGGACCUGAAGAGCGUGGCCGACCUGGCCAAUACCAACAAGGACUACCUGCGCCUGUUGGGCGUGCCCGUCAACGCCUCCGCCUACGGCACCGCUGUCCAGCUGCUGGCCUACGACUACUACGUCAAGGGCUUUGUGGCGCUGGAGACGCCGGCCGUGGCGGUGCUGAACGUGGAGGGCAUGGUGGCCGCCAACCUGCUCAUGUACACCAAGUUCUUUGACGGCCUGAACGCCUCCGUGGCCGGCCGCGACAUCACCGCCGCACAGGCCCUGGCCGCGGGUCAGUACGCACUGGCGGCCGUCCUGGAGGACAGCUCCGCGCCCAUCAACACCACCGACCCCGCCAGCAUCCUGGCGCUGCUCAACGUCACCUACAGCGUCCUCACCGCCAACGCCACCAGCGCCGGCC
rnacentral:lncRNA from 1 species